rnacentral:rRNA from 1 species
UACGAAGGGGGCUAGCGUUGCUCGGAAUCACUGGGCGUAAAGGGUGCGUAGGCGGGUCUUUAAGUCAGGGGUGAAAUCCUGGAGCUCAACUCCAGAACUGCCUUUGAUACUGAGGAUCUUGAGUUCGGGAGAGGUGAGUGGAACUGCGAGUGUAGAGGUGAAAUUCGUAGAUAUUCGGAAGAACACCAGUGGCGAAGGCGACACACUGGCCCGUUACUGACGCUGAGGCGCGAAAGCGUGGGGAGCAAACAGG